rnacentral:snRNA from 1 species
GUGCCUGCUUCAGCAGCACAUAUUCUAAAAUUGGAACAAUACAGAGAAGAUCAGCAUGCCCCCUGUGCAAGGAUGACAUACAAAUUUGUGAAGUCAUCCAUUUUGUU